UACGGAGGGUGCAAGCGUUUGUCCGGAUUUAUUGGGUUUAAAGGGUGCGUAGGCGGCCUGUUAAGUCAGUGGUGAAAUCCUGCAGCUCAACUGUAGAAUUGCCAUUGAUACUGACGGGCUUGAAUUCAGGCGAGGUAGGCGGAAUUGACGGUGUAGCGGUGAAAUGCAUAGAUAUCGUCAAGAACACCGAUUGCGAAGGCAGCUUACUAGACUGACAUUGACGCUGAGGCACGAAAGUGUGGGGAUCAAACAGG
rnacentral:rRNA from 1 species